GGUUCAAUGGUCUAAUGGUUAUGAUUUCUGUCUCACAAUAACAUCACCCGCGUUGCGGCGCACAGAAGGUUCCCAGUUCGAUCCUGGGUUGAACCA